AUGGGUCAUAUGAUGAUUGUUGUGCAUAGUUCAACUGAUAAUCUUGUGAUUAUAAAAGUUAUUAUUAGUCUUUCGCUCCUAUCUGAUGACCCCU
rfam:Ricinus communis ctg_1100012358440, whole genome shotgun sequence.